rfam:Myotis lucifugus cont2.27762, whole genome shotgun sequence.
GGCUGUUCUUGGGUGAUGCACCCUGGAAUCAGGCUCCCUCCUCUCUGGUUCCAGGUGUGUCACCUGAGAACCGCA